rnacentral:rRNA from 1 species
UACAGAGGGGGCAAGCGUUGUUCGGAAUUACUGGGCGUAAAGGGCGCGUAGGCGGCCUUCUAAGUCGAACGUGAAAUCCCCGGGCUCAACCCGGGAACUGCGUCCGAUACUGGAAGGCUUGAAUCCGGGAGAGGGAUGCAGAAUUCCAGGUGUAGCGGUGAAAUGCGUAGAUAUCUGGAGGAAUACCGGUGGCGAAGGCGGCAUCCUGGACCGACAUUGACGCUGAACGGCGAAAGCUAGGGGAGCAAACGGG